rnacentral:rRNA from 1 species
GCAUAUCACUAAGCGGAGGAAAAGAAACUAACUAGGAUUCCCCCAGUAACUGCGAGUGAAGAGGGAAGAGCUCAUCAUUGGAAUCUGGCAGUGUUGCACUGUCCGAGUUGUAGAUGAGGAGUAGUCCGUCUGGACUGCAUGGCGUCCAAGUACAAUAGGCCGUCAGUGGGACAUCAUAGAGGGUGACAAUCCCGUCCUUGACGCCAAUGUGCAAGUCUAUUACGAUGGCUAUCUCAGAGAGUCGAGCAGUUUGGGAUUUGCUGCUUAAACAUGGGAGGUAGAUUCCUUCUAAAGCUAAAUACAGGCGAGAGACCGAUAGAGAACAAGUACCGCAAGGGAAAGAUGAAAUAGCACUCUGUGAAGGGAGUCAAAAGGCGUGAAAUUGUUGCGAGAGAAGCGAUUCAAGUCAGCGUAGCUAGGCCCAUCAAGCGUCUUCGCUUUGGACUAGCUUUGCCAGCGGUCUUGUCCCUUGAAGAGACUUGACUUGUAAUAUGUCCAGCCUGGCGUGCACAGGCAGCCCCUUCUGGGGGCCAGUGGCAUGGCUGGUGGAAUGGCUUGCAAUCGACCCGUCUUGAAACACGGACCAAGGAGUCUAACAUGUAUGCGAGUAUAAGGGUGGCAAACCCGUAUGCGCAAUGAAAGUGAUUUUCGGUGAUUGAGAAUGGCCUGAUGACCAGACAAGCAAUAUAUGUCCCUCGUACGGCCAUUGCCCAAGUUCCGUGGUAGAUCCCACGAACAUGGAGUUGGAGCAUACAUGCUAGGACCCGAAAGAUGGUGAACUAUGCCUGGACAAAGCGAAGCCAAAGGAAACUCUGGUGGAGGCUUGUAGCGAUUCUGACGUGCAAAUCGAUCG